UGUUUCAUUAGGGCAUUUCACUUCUGAGUUUCUUGCCACAACUCUCUAGUGGCGACUCAAUUCCUUUGUUGCUCUGCUUUCCAUCUUCCGCCAGCGCAUCCAGUGGAGAUCGACGAGAGCCCGUUCUUGGAGUCGGCGUCACACUGCACAGCUUCUUCACUGGAGACCAUUUUCUCAGUUGACCUCGCACCAUAGUGCUUCUCCGCCAGCGAUUGUGUCGAAUGACCACUAUAGAAGCAUCUCCGACGAGAUAUUUGAACCACUGACUAUGCAGUAGUGAAGAACAAUUUUUUCCUGCUUUACCCAAACAAGACAACGAAAAAGUUGUUGUCAAUCUCAGGAUGAGAGGGGCGAAUUUUGGAGCUUGAGUGUGACGACUGCGGCUACUUUGACUGGGUUGAAAAGGAAAAAUCAAGUGGUGAAUCGAGUAACAUUGAUGAAGCGGUGAACGCCGUGGCCAAUGAAGAAUUCGAAGAGUUGCCAAGCGUGUUUGACUCUCUUGCUCGAAUAGCCAUCAAACAAGGUGUCAAGAUUUCAGCGAACAUGAUAUUUUGUAAGGAAAAAGGACACGUGAAGGAGUGUGGGAAAGGAAAGGGGCCGGCACAGCAUGUUUAGUAGUUAGUUGUUGAACGAGUUGUAUUGUAUUGUGUCCGUUUUGUAUUAGCGAUCAAAAAUUGGUAUUGUGAGAGAAUAUAUGUACUUGGCAUCAGUGUAGAAGAUCAGCUCUGCAACAUUGUAUUAGCUUCAGUUUGGUGAACAUUGUAUUAGCUAUCGCAGGUUCAUUAUUGACAUUUCUGAUCUUAAUUCUCUCUUGCUA